UUUUCCUCCUCACGCCCUGGACCCUGGCAGAGAAACUUUCUGUCCUUAGCGGCGCUCCGUCCCUGGUCUUGAGAGCAUACCCUCCUGUGAAUGCUUCUCUAGGCCUGUUGUAACAUUUGUAGGCAUCCAGCCCUGCUUUGGAGAAGAUUCAGUAGAGAGCUGGUGUAAUUGAUGUGCUCUGAUGACAGAAUAUCAAAGAAAGGACCAGAAGUAGUUUCUGCUUCUCCAUCCGGGGUGCAUCGAGAAGUUCGAGAGAAGCAAGUCGGCGGCCCACGGACCUCCUUGGGGGCUGCCCGGUUGUAAUCCGAAGCUGGCCCUGUGCUCAGAGGGCAGAGGAAAGGGGCAGAUGACUCCAGACCUACAAACCCGGAGCGGCAGGUUCCGAAGGGGAUUUGCCACAAGCCUUGUCUUAGGUGAAUCCAGCGCAGACGGACCCUGCCCCUGCCGGCAGAGGCUUCUGUGUUUAUGGAGAGGCCUUAGCUGGAUCCACUCGUGCACACAGUCUAUAGUCUCAUUGCCAUAUUAAUAUCUCAAGGCUUUAUCCUCGAGGCAGCUUCUGGAUGUAGAGGAAGCAAAUGGGGUGCAUGAUCUACGGACAGGGGAGGGGCGGGGGCGGGCAGCCUCCAAGUGCCAGGGUUCAGCUUGCAGGUCAAACCCUUGGGCACAUCUUCUCAGUGGCCCCCCCAGCACAAGUAUGGAUCCAUCUCCCAUCUCUGCAAGACCUCAAGUGGCUGCACAGAAGUGGUGAGAUUCUUUCUUUUUUUUUUUUUUUCACUUUUUAGGGCCACACUCGUGGCAUAUGGAAUUUCCUAAGCUAGGGGUCAAAUCAGAGCUACAGCUGCCAGCCACAGCCACAGCCACACCAGAUCCGAGCUACGUCUAUGACCGACACCACAGCUCACAGCAACACUGGAUCCUUAACCCACUGAGUGAGGCCAGGGGUCGAACCUGCAUCCUAAUGGAUCCUAUUCUGUAACUGUAACCACUGAGCCGUGAAGGGAACUCCCAAAAGUCAACAUCUUGCAUAGCUUGUUAUAUAACACAUUUUUAAAGGAAAUGUAAUGAGUGCUUAUUGCCAGAGUAAAUGAUAAUUUUUACUCUUUCUUUUCUAUUUCAAUGUAACAUACCGCCCAUGACACGUUAAAAUAAUCAUCAUUCCUUCCCCCCAAAUUUAAACCUAUUAAAUUAUUUUUUGAGAAAUUCUUAUCUAAAAUAUCUGCCAUUUUGCAGAACUCCUGCAGAUAUGAGUGAUUCGCUGUUUUAAUAAUUAGUGUGGGAAAAAAGAGGACACAUGGAGAAUUUUGAAAUAGUCCUGUUAUUGUUUACGGCAAUCUACAUGCAUGAAGAAAUAGCUAGUUUUAACCCAACAAAAUUACAAGUUCUAAAACUGACAGAACACUGUAAACCAACUAUAAUGGAAAAAAUAAAAAUCAUUUAAAAUU
rnacentral:lncRNA from 1 species